rnacentral:rRNA from 1 species
GUGGAUUAGAUACCCUGGUAGUCCAUGCCGUAAACGUUGGGCACUAGGUGUGGGGGACAUUCCACGUUUUCCGCGCCGUAGCUAACGCAUUAAGUGCCCCGCCUGGGGAGUACGGCCGCAAGGCUAAAACUCAAAGGAAUUGACGGGGGCCCGCACAAGCGGCGGAGCAUGCGGAUUAAUUCGAUGCAACGCGAAGAACCUUACCAAGGCUUGACAUGAACCGGACCGGGCUGGAAACAGUCUUUCCCCUUGUGGGCUGGUUUACAGGUGGUGCACGGCUGUCGACAACU